CUAGUAAUCGUAGAUCAGAAUGCUACGGUGAAUACGUUCCCGGGCCUUGUACACACCGCCCGUCACACCAUGGGAGUGGGUUGCAAAAGAAGUAGGUAGCUUAACCUUCGGGAGGGCGCUUACCACUUUGUGAUUCAUGACUGGGGUGAAGUCGUAACAAGGUAACCGUAGGGGAACCUGCGGUUGGAUCACCUCCUUACCUUAAAGAACCUGCCUUUGUAGUGCUCACACAGAUUGUCUGAUGAA
rnacentral:rRNA from 1 species